UUCUCUGUUAGAAGAGGAAAAUCAUCUCCCUGAACAUAAGCCUGUCUCCCUUUCAACAAUAGUCAGACCUUUUAUAGAUUGUGUGAAGUAAGCUGCACGGCAAAGCGAAGGAGAAUCGUGCAAGGAUCUGUCUUCAGCAAACUGUAUGAAUUCGUAGUGGAUUCAGUAUACACGAAUGUACUGCUAACUCACUACUAUACUUUACUUCAGAAACUCCCCCUCCCUCUUCCCUCCCCUUACCCUUACCCUGUCAUCCACAGUUUUCCCGGGCAGCGCCAGAAAAAGUGUCAAUAAGGAUGUCAGGGCCAGACCGUUCCAGCAACGCCUAUGGCAUCCUGAAGUUGUCGGAGCUGACAUUCCUGCUAGUUUCGAUGGGCAUCUUUAAGGAGCAGAUCUCAUCUUCAGUGCAUCCCAUCCCGUAGCCAUCGACACCUUCUUUUCGGGCAUGUUCGUCAUGGGUAUCGUCAUCACGGCCAUCUUAUUCAUCUGCCAUCUCGUCGGGCAGACG